rnacentral:rRNA from 1 species
GAGUUUGAUCCUGGCUCAGGAUGAAGAGGCUACAGGCUUAACACAUGCAAGUCGAGGGGAAACGGCAUUGAGUGCUUGCACUGAAUGGACGUCGACCGGCGCACGGGUGAGUAACGCGCAUCCAACCUUCCCGUUACUGCGGGAUAACCUGCCGAAAGGCAGACUAAUACCGCAUGUUCUUCGAUGACGGCAUCAGAUUCGAAGCAAAGAUCCGUCGGUAACGGAGGGGGAUGCGUCUGAUUAGCUUGUUGGCGGGGCGACGGCCCACCAAGGCGACGAUCAGUAGGGGUUCUGAGAGGAAGGUCCCCCACAUUGGAACUGAGACACGGUCCAAACUCCUACGGGAGGCAGCAGUGAGGAAUAUUGGUCAAUGGGCGGAAGCCUGAACCAGCCAAGUAGCGUGCAGGAGGACGGCCCUACGGGUUGUAAACUGCUUUUAUGCGGGGAUAAAGUGAGGGACGUGUCCCUUUUUGCAGGUACCGCAUGAAUAAGGACCGGCUAAUUCCGUGCCAGCAGCCGCGGUAAUACGGAAGGUCCGGGCGUUAUCCGGAUUUAUUGGGUUUAAAGGGAGCGUAGGCCGGGGAUUAAGUGUGUUGUGAAAUGUAGCGCCCCCAACGUCUGACUUGCAGCGCAUUCUGGUUCCCUUGAGUACGCGCACUCCCGGCGGGAAUUCGCCGCGUACCGGUGACAUGCUUACAUAUGAUCAAAUACCUCGAUCGCCAAUGUUCUCGUUGCCUCUUA